rnacentral:piRNA from 1 species
CUGAUGCACAGAUGUAGAAGCUCUGAGG